UCCGGAGCCCGCUCACAUGUGAUGCGUUUUCUAAGAGUCGGUUUGUUUGGGAAUGCAGACCAAAAUGGGUGGUAAAUACCAUCUAAAGCUAAAUAUUGGCGAGAGACCGAUAGCGAACAAGUACCGUGAGGGAAAGAUGAAAAGAACUUUGAAAAGAGAGUUAAAAGUACGUGAAAUUGUCAAAAGGGAAACGCUUGAAACCAGUAUUGCUUGCAGGUAAUCAGCCGUUGCUUUUGGAGCGGUGCACUUGCCUGUCGGCGGGUCAACAUCAGUUUGGCUCGGGAUAAAAAGCCGGGAGAAGGUAGCCCCUCUCGGGGGGUGUUAUAGCUCACGGUCAUGUCUUGGGCUGGACUGAGGUCUGCAGCGUUAUUUGGGUAGCCAGUCGCCUCUCGAAGCUUUUCUGUAGACAGCACGCUGACUGCGGGACGGUCUAGGGAGCACGGUUGGGAUUCCACACCAACGCUUAGGAUGUUGACGAAAUGGUUUUAAACGACCCGUCUUGAAACACGGACCAAGGAGUCUAACAUACAUGCGAGUGUUUGGGUGGCAAACCCUCACGCGAAAUGAAAGUGAACUUA
rnacentral:rRNA from 1 species